rnacentral:rRNA from 1 species
CCAGCUCCAAUAGCGUAUAUUAAAGUUGUUGCAGUUAAAAAGCUCGUAGUUGAAUUUUGGGCCUGGUUGGGUGGUCUUGCCGCAAGGUAUGUACUACUCUGAUUGGGUUCUGACUUUCUGGGGAACCAGUGUGCUCUUAACUGGGUGCAUUGGGGAUCCAGGACUUUUACUUUGAAAAAAUUAGAGUGUUUAAAGCAGGCGUUCGCUUGAAUACAUUAGCAUGGAAUAAUAGAAUAGGACUUUGGUUCUAUUUUGUUGGUUUCUAGGACCGAAGUAAUGAUUAAUAGGGAUAGUUGGGGGCAUUAGUAUUUAAUUGUCAGAGGUGAAAUUCUUGGAUUUAUGAAAGACUAACUUCUGCGAAAGCAUUUGCCAAGGAUGUUUUCAUUAAUCAAGAACGAAAGUUAGGGGAUCGAAGACGAUCAGAUACCGUCGUAGUCUUAACCAUAAACUAUGCCGACUAGGGAUCGGACGACGUUAUAAAUUGACUCGUUCGGCACCUUAUGAGAAAUCAAAGUUUUUGGGUUCUGGGGGGAGUAUGGUCGCAAGGCUGAAACUUAAAGGAAUUGACGGAAGGGCACCACCAGGAGUGGAGCCUGCGGCUUAAUUCGACUCAAC